rnacentral:rRNA from 1 species
CCUACGGGCGGCAGCAGUGGGGAAUAUUGCACAAUGGGGGAAACCCUGAUGCAGCGACGCCGCGUGAGUGAAGAAGUAUUUCGGUAUGUAAAGCUCUAUCAGCAGGGAAGAAAUAGCGACCUUUGGGUCGCCAGACGGUACCUGAUUAAGAAGCCCCGGCUAACCACGUGCCAGCAGCCGCGGUAAUACGUAGGGGGCAAGCGUUAUCCGGAUUUACUGGGUGUAAAGGGAGUGUAGACGGCAGCGCAAGUCUGAAGUGAAAUGCCGGGGCUUAACCCCGGAACUGCUUUGGAAACUGUGCAGCUAGAGUGCAGGAGAGGUAAGUGGAAUGCCUGGUGUAGCGGUGAAAUGCGUAGAUAUUAGGAGGAACACCAGUGGCGAAGGCGGCUUACUGGACUGUAACUGACGUUGAGGCUCGAAAGCGUGGGGAGCAAACAGGAUUAGAUACCAUAGUAGUC